CUACCAGCCAAUUUGAAAAACUUUAAAAAGUCAUAGUUACAAUCACAAUGAGAACUCAGUCUUUUUUUCUGAUUGUCCUUGUUGUUAUUUUUUCCUGUGCGUCCUUGAAUCAUGCUACCUUCCUCAACCUCAAUGAUCCAUUAGUUAAUGAGAUUGGCAACUUUGCUGUAAACGAGUACAACAAGCAAGGUAAUAAGCUAAAAUUUGAGAAGGUCGUCGAUGGUGUAUCUGAAACAACAUCCCAAGGGACCAACUACCGCAUCACACUUUCUGCAUCAGAUGGUUCAACCUCUAAAAAUUAUGCAGCCAUUGUAUUGGAUAAUCCAAUACAACAUAUUAGAAAACUGAUGAACUUUGCACCUAUUAAAGCCUAAAUCAUUAAAGUAGUUUAUCUUAUAAAAUCAUUUAUCUUUAGCCUUUAGAUUAGUGUACCAAUAAAAUAUAUGUUUUGUAUAUCAGUAAUUGAUUAUUGAUCUAAAUAAAUUAUCAAUUUAAAUUACGCUAAAACUUCAUGUGGUUUUCUCUCUCCAGAAAGUUUGUGUUAUAACUUUGUAAUUUUAGUGUUGGAGUAUUCAACCGAGAAAAAUUAUAAUAUUUAUAAAAUAAUAUCAAAUUCAUUGGAUAAAUUUAGAGAAAAACAAUCCUACUCAAUUAUAGAAUUUAGUU